AUUGAACGCUGGCGGCAUGCUUUACACAUGCAAGUCGAACGGCAGCGCGGGCUUCGGCCUGGCGGCGAGUGGCGAACGGGUGAGUAAUGCAUCGGAACGUGCCCAGUAGUGGGGGAUAGCACGGCGAAAGCCGGAUUAAUACCGCAUACGACCUGAGGGUGAAAGCGGGGGACCGAAAGGCCUCGCGCUUUCGGAGCGGCCGAUGUCGGUUUAGCCAGUUGGUGGGGUAAAGGCUUCCCAAGGCGACGGACCGUAGCUGGUCUGAGAGGAGGACCAGCCACACGGGGACUGAGACACGGACCAGACUCCUACGGGAGGCAGCAGUGGGGAAUUUUGGACAAUGGGGGCAACCCUGAUCCAGCCAUGCCGCGUGCGGGAAGAAGGCCUUCGGGUUGUAAACCGCUUUUGUUCGGGAAGAAAUCCUCUGGGCUAAUACCCCGGGGGGAUGACGGUACCGGAAGAAUAAGCACCGGCUAACUACG
rnacentral:rRNA from 1 species